UAGUAGGUAGACUCCUGCAACCAGGAAAACAAUUUAAUGCCUAAUAUCAUGAAGAAAAAGAAAAGCAGCUGUUCUAGAAGUCAAGUAACAGAGUCUGGUUUGUUAAACACCAAAAAGAAGUGUCCAAUUUCUGAUCGCCAACAGACAAAGCUACUGGUGGUCUAAGAAGGACAAGAAAGACCUCAAAACUGAAGUCUACUGAACUGUGGGAUUUUUUUUGGCAAGUGAAAAUGACAGUGUGUCCAACAUAAGUAAUGAAGAAGAGAGAAGGCAGCCAUAAGUCUGAUGUUCCAAAAAAUCACGUCUGUAUUUGCGUCACUGGAGAAAGUGUGUAAAGAAGCCACACUAAUGAAAUUAUGAUGGCAGCACUAAUAGUUAAAUACUAGUUUCUUAUAUCACAAAAAACUGUUUGGAGGUUUAUAGUCCUGCCAAUAUUUACAUUUAUUUCUUAUUGUGUUAAAGAAAGUCAAACUACAAAAUCCUUUUAUAAACCAUGUUGAAAUUUUCCUAAAGUUUUAGAUUAGAAGGGGGAAAAAAAACUUCAUUCUCAAUUUAAGAGAGAUAAAUGACUUUCCUUGUUUAAAAAUAACUAAAAAUGCUCCUUAUAUUUUAGAGUUUUUCCUCUUAAGAGUGUGAAUUGUAACAAUUCAAUUAUGAAAAAUGAAAAACAUGAAGUUUUCUUCCCUACCUAAGGCAACAAUAAAAAACAGAUCUAUUGAA